rnacentral:rRNA from 1 species
UGUAUUUAUUAGAUAAAAAACCAAUGCCCUUCGGGGCUUUUUGGUGAUUCAUGAUAACUUUACGGAUCGCAUAGCCUUGCGCUGGCGACGGUUCAUUCAAAUUUCUGCCCUAUCAACUUUCGAUGGUAAGGUAUUGGCUUACCAUGGUUUCAACGGGUAACGGGGAAUUAGGGUUCGAUUCCGGAGAGGGAGCCUGAGAAACGGCUACCACAUCCAAGGAAGGCAGCAGGCGCGCAAAUUACCCAAUCCCGACACGGGGAGGUAGUGACAAUAAAUACUGAUACAGGGCUCUUUUGGGUCUUGUAAUUGGAAUGAGUACAAUUUAAAUCCCUUAACGAGGAACAAUUGGAGGGCAAGUCUGGUGCCAGCAGCCGCGGUAAUUCCAGCUCCAAUAGCGUAUAUUAAAGUUGUUGAGGUUAAAAAGCUCGUAGUUGAACCUUGGGCCUAGCCGGUCGGUCCGCCUCACCGCGUGCACUGACUCGGUUGGGCCUUUCCUUCUGGAGAACCGCAUGCCCUUCACUGGGCGUGUUGGGGAACCAGG